AUUCCUGUGAUCAGACUGCAGGAGGCAAAUGAGAGCCAAGAGGGUUGUGGCACUUGUGGUUUAUUUUAGAGGUGGUUUAUUCUCUGAAAAGAGAAAAAAAAAAAAAAAAAGAAAGAAACAGAAGAAAAAAAAAGAAAGAAAGAAAGAAACAUUCUGAAAUUUUCACAUGGAAUAGAGAUCUCGUCUGCGUCCUGCUGAGUUGCUUUAAAGAGCAACACAAGAGGCAUUCACACAAUCUACUCUGGCAGAACAGUGACGGAGGCAAUAACUUCUAGAAAGAGGGCAGCUGAGGACAGAGAUUUCUACCAAACAGUACAUUUGGAUCUGGAAGAGGAUAUCUGUCCACAUUCCAUUCUUCCUUAAACUAAAAUGACAAGACUUGGUGUCCUAACCUCAGAACGAUUCUGUAAGAAUGUAUUAAGAAGAUGACAUUCUGUAAUACUGUGGAAAUCACAUGGUUGCCUAAGAUACGUCACUGAUAUUAAAGAUAUUCUCCAAAAUUAUCAACCACUUUUAAAUGUGGAAGUCUUUAUACACAGGAAGUCUUGAUAUAGUAUCAACUUCAGUAAUUAAAGCACUGCAAUACAGUAAAUAUAUGAUGGAUUACCAUUUUGCAAAACCUCUCUGAACAAGAGAUGUAUUAUUCCCAUUUUGGAUGAGAGAAGUCAACGUGGGAUUGCUUCCCUGAGUUACCUGGAAAGUGUGACGCUGAAAGAGUAUUUCACCUCAAAGCUCCUGCAGCCCUUUCCACAGGAACAUUUCUUCUACCUAAGCAUUAAUUGUUUUCCUAAUCCCACUCUCCCUCCUAAUCCCAUUCUCCCCCAAAGGAGAAUAGCUAAAUGUAAAAGAAAGCAAGGUAAAACAGUUACAGGUGUCUAGAACGGCUCAGUACUUGUGCUGUAUUUGCCUGUAUAGUGCUCCUUCUGUCUUGCCCAUUUAGGCAAACAUUGUCUCUUUGUAUGCUCCCACACUUUGUGUUUAAUGAUACUGCCCUUAUGUCUUCUACCUCUGAUACAAGAUCC
rnacentral:lncRNA from 7 species